rnacentral:misc_RNA from 1 species
UGAUAAGUCGCUUUCACACAAUCGCUAUUCUGAGAAGCUCCAAUUAUUUAUAUUGCCAUACACGAGCAGAAUAUAGUAAGAGGAGAGAACAAGAGUACAGAUACAAGAAAUUAAGGGGAAAGGGAAGGUGAGAAGAGGCAAAAUGAAGUUUUUCUCUCUAGCAGUGCUGGUGCAGAUUCUGCUGAGCACAAGCCGUUGCAGAGCCAGUGUUCCAAAUAGGAUGGAUGGCAACCACUUCUCCAUAGGGGAUAGCAACAAGGAGUUUGAGUUCAUGACAGAAUGCUUGCCGCUGCUGCAGUUUCUACUAAGCCUUUAAGCAGAGAUGCAGUUUUUUUCCUUGCGACAGAGGCAAUAACUACUGCCUCACACAAAAAAAUGUUAAAUAAGUGCUGCGGGGUAUACGACCGGACUUGCAAUCGCUUUAAGUAGCUUUUUUUGCUAGCACAGCCAUGCCCCGUGCUUCAACUGUCUUUCUCUGCAGGUGGAAUAUUUGUGUUUAUAAAUAAAAUUAUCUUCUUCUAGUUUUGUUCUAUUCGUAUCAGAACUGCAUACGUGAAAUCUUUGGCUUUGAGGUAAUACUCUUCAUUUUUCUUUUUUAUAAAAGGAAGUGUCAUUUAAUCAAUAAAAUAGUCAUAGUAUAUAGUUAUAAUUAAUAAUAUUGAUAUCAAAAAUUAUUGUUUAAUAAAAUAAGACAAAUCUCUUAAAAUAUUAUCUAGAUCUCUUCUGCAUUACUUUCUGAAUUAUUUCGAUCUCUCAGCAUUUAUUUUGAUAUAGUUGUCCAUCACAGUUAUCAUAAUAUUUUGACAGAUCAUGUUUAUUCUGCAAAAUUGAUCAACAAUAAUUCAAAACUACAAGACAAUUUUUCAUAGAAAAUCUUAAAAAAAAUCAUAAAGGGAAAUAAGAUAAUUAUAUGUAGAAAUCAAUUCCACAUUAAAAACAAAACGGCAAAACUUUACAAAAUGAGAGAAAUAAAAGAAAAUGCAAAUCUGUCAAGUAUGAAUUUGAGUUUAUUAAUAAUAAAUAAAUGAAAAAAAAAAAGAUAAGUGCUACCUCUAAUUAAUAGUAAAAAUUUCAAAUUUAAAUUAGGAUCAGAAAGUCUCCCGUAUUAAAGGGUCUGUAUAGAAAAAAAAAUAAAGAAAAGGAGACAAAGAGAGAUAGAGUCUUUAAUUUUCUUUUCUUUCUUUGAAUUUCUGCAAACUCUUUAAAUUUGUCAAAAUCAAUGUCUUUUUCUCACUUGGAAUUUUAUAUUUAAGGCAUGUUUGGUUUAACCAUCGGAUACAACCGAUAGCGGUUAUUGUUAGCGAAUAAUUGAUAACUGAUAGUUGAUUUAUAUAAAUUAUUUAGUAAAAUUAUGUGUAGCUAUU